GACGUAAGCUACCGCAUAGGGAGGGGUCUGCGUACCAUUAGCUAGUAGGUGGGGUAAUGGCCCACCUAGGCGACGAUGGUUAGCGGGUCUGAGAGGAUGAUCCGCCACACUGGCACUGGAACACGGGCCAGACUCCUACGGAAGGCAGCAGUGAGGAAUAUUGCGCAAUGGGGGCAACCCUGACGCAGCGACGCCGCGUGAGUGAGGAAGGCCUUCGGGUCGUAAAGCUCUGUCAAGAGGAAAGAAGUGCAUGGCGGUUAAUACCCGUUGUGUUUGACGGUACCUCUAAAGGAAGCACCGGCUAACUCCGUGCCAGCAGCCGCGGUAAUACGGAGGGUGCAAGCGUUGUUCGGAAUCACUGGGCGUAAAGGGCGCGUAGGCGGCUUGAUAAGUCAGAUGUGAAAGCCCACGGCUUAACUGUGGAAGUGCAUUUGAAACUGUCAGGCUUGAGUACCAGAGGGGAAAGUGGAAUUCCCGGUGUAGAGGUGAAAUUCGUAGAUAUCGGGAGGAAUACCGGUGGCGAAGGCGACUUUCUGGCUGGAUACUGACGCUGAGGCGCGAAAGCGUGGGGAGCAAACAGGAUUAGAUACCCUGGUAGUCCACGCCGUAAACGAUGUGAACUAGAUGCAGGUGGUGUUGAUCCCAUCUGUGUCGCAGCUAACGCA
rnacentral:rRNA from 1 species